ACGGGUGAGUAACGCGUGAGCAACCUGUCCCAGACAGGGGGAUAACACUUGGAAACAGGUGCUAAUACCGCAUAAGACCACGGGGUCACAUGGCCCUGGGGUAAAAGGAGCAAUCCGGUUUGGGGUGGGCUCGCGUCCGAUUAGAUAGUUGGUGAGGUAACGGCCCACCAAGUCGACGAUCGGUAGCCGACCUGAGAGGUGAUCGGCCACAUUGGAACUGAGAGACGGUCCAAACUCCUACGGGAGGCAGCAGUGGGGAAUAUUGGGCAAUGGGCGAAAGCCCUGACCCAGCAACGCCGCGUGAGUGAAGAAGGCCUUCGGGUUGUAAAGCUCUGUUAUAGGGGACGAAGGAAGUGACGGUACCCUAUAAGGAAGCCCCGGCUAACUACGUGCCAGCAGCCGC
rnacentral:rRNA from 1 species